AUUAUAUUAUAUUAUUCCAACACCAAUCCCAUAUGCUCCAUUCUUUCGCUCACCACCCGUCCAGAACCUCGCCGGAGAAAACCCCAAACCCACCGGGAAACCCUAGAAAAUCGGCGGGGACCCCAACAAUUCGCCGAAAAACCGCCACUAAUGGAGACCCUCACCUUCUUCUUUGUCCUUCUCUUGUUGGGUCUCGCCAUUUCAGACCCAGACGACCAAGCCUGCCUGUCUAGCCUGAAACAAAACUUUCAAGACCCAAAAGGAAGGCUCGCUCAUUGGACCCAGAAGGCUUUAGCCUCUCCCUGUAAUGGCGUCACCUCUUCCCUUGAAGGGGUUACCUGCAACAAUGAUCGCAUAUACAAGCUAACCCUUGUGAACUUCAAUCUUGGGGGAACGAUUUCACCCUUUAUAUCGAACUGUACAAGUCUCCAGACCCUUGAUCUAUCGCAAAAUCAAAUCUCCGGCCAGAUUCCGGCGGAGUUGCAAAGCCUAGUGAACUUAGCAGUCUUAAACUUGUCGGAAAAUAAACUUUCCGGCCAGAUUCCGGCACAACUCGCUCUCUGUGCUUACCUUAAUGUCAUAGACCUCCACAUAAACCAACUCUCUGGUUUGAUUCCUCAACAGUUGGGUCUUCUUGUUCGAUUGAGCUCUUUUGAUGUCUCUUAUAACAGGCUUUCAGGGCCUAUUCCUGUUCUUUUGGCGAAUAAAUCAGGGGGUAUACAGAGAUUUAAUGCGAGUUCAUUUAUGGGGAAUAAGGAUUUGUAUGGCUUUCCAUUGCCUCCUGCUAAAAAUAGGAGCUUAUCAGUAAUAGCGAUUGUUUUGAUUGGGUUGGGGAGUGGGUUCUUGAGCUUGGUUGUGAGCUUUACUGCUGUUUGUAUAUGGUUGAGGGUUACAGAGCAAGGAAUGGCCGCUGAGGAAGGGAAAAUCAGUCAAUUGAUGCCUGAUUAUUAAUUGGGUUUUGGAGUUGCAGACAAAAAAACAGAGGUUUCUAUUCUCUCUCCUCUAUUUCUCAAGUUUUUUUUUUUUCAGGUUGUAUCUUGUUCGUGUUGGUGGGGCGUUGGGGGCAAGAAAAAGGUCAAUUUUUACUCUAAUUUUCUGAAGGUUUUUUCAUGGUUUGGUUAUGUUUCUCCGGUGGUUUCUGGGAGUUGCAGAGAUGAAAGAGGAAGGAUCAGAUGAAGAGAUUCAAAUUUCUUUGACGAUUGUAUGCUUAACAAUUCCGUGGUCACAAUGAUUCUGGUUCGCUCUCUGGUGAUUAACAGUGUAUACUAAUACUAUAUUAUAUUUUUGUAGCAACUAUUUCAUUUUUUGUUUUCCUCUUUUGCUUUUGCUUUUAUUAAUUUCACAGUAAUGUAAUUGAACUAUGUAGCAUUUGGUUCUUCUUGUGCCCUUAAAUUGGGUUUUCUUCUUCUUAACAGUGUAUACUAAUAUCACUUUUCUUGGAAGGAAGAAUUCUUUUGUUAA